GCCUGAUUGGCUCAGUCAGUUAAGUGUCUGACUUUGGCUCAGGUCAUGAUCUCACAGUUUGUGAGUUCGAGCCCCGCGUCAGGCU
rnacentral:tRNA from 1 species